CUUGUUUAAGAUCUGAUUUUUUUUAUUCUGGUGAGACCCCAGGGGGACUGGUCUGGAUGCACCCAGGGAACUGGUGGGGAGAAAGGAAGAAAGGGGGAG